rnacentral:misc_RNA from 1 species
UUCAAUCAAAUCAUUUUUCAUUAUCAUAUAAAAACAGGGAAACAUUAGCAAAAGCGGCAAUUAAAUCAGGAUAAGAGAAACCAUAGUUUUGAAGAGCCUCUCAGGACGGCUCAACCUGGUAAAUUUUCUAAAAGGAUAUACAUUGUCUUUCCUUCCAAAAUUCUACAUACACUUCACAAUUCAUUUCGAAAGUAAGUGAAAUUAAUUACCUCAAACAACCAUUUACCUCAAACAACCAUUUCAGCUUCUCUAACACUGGAGGGGAUUCCAAUAUCCAACCUCAUGGUUGAUUUGUAUUCCUCUGGCACAUUUGCACCAGCCUGAAUGCAAAUUUCCACAAUGGCAGGAGCUUGUCCAUAAAAAUUCCUAAGCUCCCUUUGCAAUGGUGACCCAUUUACAUCGGGAACAUGCCACACGUAUCUUGGUGGUAUUAAGUCGUCAAGCACUGCAGCCUGCCAACCAUGUUGUCCGUUUCUUUGUUGGUGCUUGUGGGCUCCACAGUUCUGUGCUUUGUGUCCACUGGGUCCUACAUGCACCUCUGGGCAAUAUCCACAUACUCUCACCGGGUACAUCUUCAUUAGCCUCUUGGCUCCUUUCCUCAUCUUCUCCCAUGCUCGUACUGUUUCCUCAGCAAGAAAUUUGAUUUCUUCUCCAUUAGAUGGGGCUUUAAUUUCUGAGUUGGGUAUUUCAGUUAAUAGUGGCUUUCCAGGAACUUCUGGGACAGGGUCUGGUAGGUCACUUUCAUCUGCAUCAACAAAUUCACUUUUACUGAUCCGAAUGAUUGGUUUUCUUCUCCUUUUUGUGGGAUAUUCAGAAAUAUUCACGCCUGCUUGGAUGCAGAGCUCAACUACAGCAGGAAUUCGGGGGAUUGAAAAUCUCUCCUCGUGAGGAAUACGCUUUCCAAGGCGGUCAAAAAGGUGGUAGGCUUCUAUAGGAACAAAUACAUCUUCAAUAGUUGCAUUUGUCCACUCAUGAAGGCCCUUCCGAAGCGUAGCGUAUUUACCUUUACAUGACUUGAAUGGAUGUCCUACAGGUCCCACAUGGAUUUCAUUACACCACCUGCAAAUGAUAGACUAACCAAUAUAACAUAUUUCAUCGAGGAGGUUAAAGUCUGACAAGCAACAAUUCUUUGUACCCAACUAAUAAUGCAUGCAUGUAUUUUUUAUGUGAUAAGAGCCAUCGUUACCACUUAUCAACAAAUCAUAUGCAAACAAGAAACAAAUAAUUCAAAAUUACUGACGGUCAACCUGCCAAUUUUAAGAUUCUUAAUGCCUCAUACCCAUACUGCAACACUAUAUAUUCAGUUUAUUAAGAGUACUGACAUUUAUUUAUAAACUUUUCCUUUACGGUAGAAUACAGUGAACUGUGAUCAGAUAGCAUACAGCCAUCUCUAGAAAGCAAAAAAUGAUAAGCUAAUUACAUGUGAUGCAUGUAUUCCUCUAUGAUGGAAGAGCCAGAAUUUUAAUGGAAACAAAAUAGGUAACCAGAAAUUUUGAAGCCAAGCAUGACAUUGGACCAUAUGGCUAUGAUAGUUUAUGGGAAAGCAAGAGAGGAUCUGCUAAACCCAUUUUUAUGCAAUUAAUAAUUGAUUUAGCAGGAAACUGUAAACCUGAGCUGUUAUUACCCAUAAUCGAUGAAGAUGGAGUGGAGGAAGCAGAUGAUAAUUACCCACAAGCAUGCACAGGCACCACUUUCAACAAUUUCUUGAGAUUGUUAAUCAUGAUAAUCCUCGCAUUAAACACAUCAUAAGCAAGUGGUAUGAGGCUCUUAACAACAACGCCGUUCUUUGGAGGAGGAGCUUGUCCUUUAGGCCGGCCUUUCCUGUUCUUGAGCCUCUCCCUUGCAGCUCGUCUCAAUUCAACAAUGGGUACUGGAAAGGGCUUUUUCUCCUUUCUCGAAUAAUUUCGAGGAAAAUCAGCAUUUUGUGGAUACUCAUUUGCGAUGACCAAGGCAUGUGGUUGCUGCAACAUUCUUGAUGUAAUGACAGAGUUCAGUUCAAGCCUAAGUUUACUACCUCUAUG